rnacentral:rRNA from 1 species
UACAGAGGUCUCAAGCGUUGUUCGGAUUCAUUGGGCGUAAAGGGUGCGUAGGUGGCGUCGUAAGUCGGGUGUGAAAUCUCGGGGCUUAACUCCGAAACUGCAUUCGAUACUGCGGUGCUUGAGGACUGGAGAGGAGACUGGAAUUUACGGUGUAGCAGUGAAAUGCGUAGAGAUCGUAAGGAAGACCAGUGGCGAAGGCGGGUCUCUGGACAGUUCCUGACACUGAGGCACGAAGGCCAGGGGAGCAAACAGG